CACGUAGGGUGCGAGCGUUGUCCGGAAUUAUUGGGCGUAAAGAGCUCGUAGGCGGUGUGUCGCGUCGGCCGUGAAAACUUGCAGCUUAACUGUGGGCGUGCGGUCGAUACGGGCAUCACUGGAGUUCGGCAGGGGAGACUGGAAUUCCUGGUGUAGCGGUGAAAUGCGCAGAUAUCAAGAGGAAUACCAGAGGUGAAGACGGGUUGCUAGGCUGACACUGACGCUGAGGCGCGAAAGCCAGGUGAGCAAACGGG
rnacentral:rRNA from 1 species